GCGGUUCCAUUCCCCGACUCCUUCCCUAGAAACGAAUUGUUCUUGCUGACGAUCUCCCAUAUCGGCUGCCCCGGAACCGUCGCCAUUUCUGAGAGAGAGAAUUGCUCCAGGCUGAUAAUCAAUAAGAACAGAAAAAGAAAAAAUAUAAACGUAAAUUCAAGUCUGCUGAUAAGAAAUAGAAAACAAAACAAAAAAAGGAAUAGAGAUAAGGAAACUUGCUGGGUUAUCUCUUGCGCUUGGAGGCGGCGUGAGGGCGCGGCGCAGGCCAGCCUGAGUUUUGGGUUACGUUUGUUCGAAGCGGCACGGAAAAGGCAGCGGUUGCAUCUCCAUCAGUGUUUGAUGAGAAAAUGGCGGAUGAGUCUCCGUCAAAGGACGACUCACCGAUGUGGUGGUUGAAUUGGCAAAAGAGGAGGAUUGGGUGUGGAAAAAGGGUUCGAAGUUUGGGAAUUCUUUUGCAAUUAGGUUGCUGAUAAUAGGUGGAAAGAGAAUUAAUAGGUGGGGAGAGAAAUCUCUUUUUCUCAUAUAUCAUCGUUUCUCAUUUUUUCUCAAUCGCGUAGAACACAUAACCCUUCUCUCAAAAUCUGUGAAAUCCUUAGGUUUCCUCCCUUUUCACUUCUCAAUUUCCGGCUAUUUGGUGUCGCAGUCAAUCGGUGUCGCGGUCGUCAAUCCGCCGUCGACGACAACAACGCCGCGACCUGACGACUCCAUCUCUUAUGAUUUUCACCUGUUCGCCUGAUUCUAUUCUUCCCUCUUCCUCUAACCCAUUUGAUGAACUAUUGGCGAAUGACGGCUGAGUUUUUGUGAUAGUUUGGUAAGCAAAUGACGAAUGGAGUUAAUCGAGGCAGAAAAAUGGUUUUGAAGUUUGAGGAGAUAAGGAUGAGGGGUGAGCAAAAUGGUUAUGAAAUUUGAGGAUUUCUGUUUUCUAAUUGUUGGUGCAGAAUUGAAGUAGAGAAGAAAUAUGACCGUAGAAAGUUUGAUAUAAGUUUACAUGAAGAGAAUAGUGGGAGAGAAGAUUGGGAUGUAGAAAAUGGGGUACAUGGCAAAGAAAAC
rnacentral:lncRNA from 1 species